rnacentral:rRNA from 1 species
UGAGCAAUCUGCCCUUCUCUUCGGAAUAAGCGUUGGAAACGACGUCUAAUGCCGAAUACGACCUCCUUUCGCAUGAUCGGAGGUGGAAAGCUCCGGCGGAGAAGGAUGAGCUCGCGGCCUAUCAGCUAGUUGGUGUGGGUAAUGGCCCACAAGGCGACGACGGGUAGCUGGUCUGAGAGGAUAAUCAGCCACAGUUGGGACUGAGACACGGCCCAGACCUCGUACGGGGAGG